rnacentral:rRNA from 1 species
CAGUAGCCGCGGGAAUACGAAGGGGGCUAGCGUUGUUCGGAUUUACUGGGCGUAAAGCGCACGUAGGCGGAUCGAUCAGUCAGGGGUGAAAUCCCAGAGCCCAACUCUGGAACUGCCUUUGAUACUGUCGAUCUGGAGUAUGGAAGAGGUGAGUGGAAUUCCGAGUGUAGAGGUGAAACUCGUAGAUAUUCGGAGGAACACCAGUGGCGAAGGCGGCUCACUGGUCCAUUACUGACGCUGAGGUGCGAAAGCGUGGGGAGCAAACAGGAUUAGAUACCCCAGUAGUCCCUGUCUCUUAUAC